rnacentral:rRNA from 1 species
UACGUAGGGGGCAAGCGUUGUCCGGAUUUAUUGGGCGUAAAGAGCGUGUAGGCGGCUUGGUAGGUCCGCUGUGAAAACUCGAGGCUCAACCUCGAGAUGUCGGCGGAAACCACUUGGCUAGAGUCCGGAAGAGGAGAGUGGAAUUCCUGGUGUAGCGGUGAAAUGCGCAGAUAUCAGGAAGAACACCCGUGGCGAAGGCGGCUCUCUGGGACGGUACUGACGCUGAGACGCGAAAGCGUGGGGGGCAAACAGG